rnacentral:rRNA from 1 species
AUUGAACGCUGGCGGCAGGCCUAACACAUGCAAGUCGAGCGGUAGCACAGGGAGCUUGCUCCUGGGUGACGAGCGGCGGACGGGUGAGUAAUGUCUGGGAAACUGCCUGAUGGAGGGGGAUAACUACUGGAAACGGUAGCUAAUACCGCAUAACGUCGCAAGACCAAAGAGGGGGACCUUCGGGCCUCUUGACAUCAGGUGUGCCCAGAUGGGAUUAGCUAGUAGGUGGGGUAACGGCUCACCUAGGCGACGAACCCUAGCUGGUCUGAGAGGAUGACCAGCCACACUGGAACUGAGACACGGUCCAGACUCCUACGGGAGGCAGCAGUGGGGAAUAUUGCACAAUGGGCGCAAGCCUGAUGCGGCCAUGCCGCGUGUAUGAAGAAGGCCUUCGGGUUGUAAAGUACUUUCAGCGGGGAGGAGGGUGUUGAGGUUAAUAACCUCAGCAAUUGACGUUACCCGCAGAAGAAGCACCGGCUAACUCCGUGCCAGCCGCCGCCGUAA